UACGAAGGGUGCAAGCGUUACUCGGAAUUACUGGGCGUAAAGCGUGCGUAGGUGGUUUGUUAAGUCUGAUGUGAAAGCCCUGGGCUCAACCUGGGAACGGCAUUGGAAACUGGCUUACUAGAGUGCGGUAGAGGGGUGUGGAAUUCCCGGUGUAGCAGUGAAAUGCGUAGAUAUCGGGAGGAGCACCAGUGGCGAAGGCGACUACCUGGCCCAUUCUUGACGCUGAGGCGCGAAAGCUAGGGGAGCGAACGGG
rnacentral:rRNA from 1 species